rnacentral:lncRNA from 1 species
UUUUCAAGGUAGAUGCACUGAAAAUAUUCUUCUGUACUUAGGGAUCAUCCUUAAAGUGGCUUUAUCCGUUGGGAAAUUACCUUAGUGACAUUAUUGGAAUGGAAAUUGAGAAAAAUAUAAAAGAUCUGUUACAUCCAUUGGUCAGUAAUUACCCAGACAUAAGGUAAGUGUUAUAAUAACUUUGAAUAUAUUACUAUUUUAAAACAAUACACUGUCUUGUUCACUUUACUAAUGCAUGUAGUAUAGCUAUCAUGGAUUUAACUUUUCAUUUCUAGCAAGAAGCAGUUGUCAGCUGUUCUGUCCUUCAGAGACAAUGGUUUUAGCUUGGAGAAGCACAAUGUUAUUAAUCACUUUACUGUGCUUAAACGGGAUGCUGGAAACACAAAUCAUGAGCACUCCUUCUUCACUGACAUUGAGUGAGUUUUCUUUUGGCAAUUCUGAUGCUUCAAGAACCAUCAUAGGGGAAAAAAAGAUUGCAUCAUUUUUAAAAAAUGUGUACAGUACAUUUUCUUGUUAGAAUAUACAGGCAUUAUUAGUGUAUUUGGUGCAUGAUUACUUACAUGUGCUGUCUAUGUACUGGUAAAAAUGAUCUGAAAAGACAGACAUGUAGGCUGUGUUGGAGUUUAGUGAUCUCCAUUGUGAUAUUCUGCUCAAAUUAAAGAGCAAUACAGCUUGUCUGUGUUCCUUCAUGAGGCAACUUGUGCUAUUUGCCUUUAACAAUCCCUUAUUUUAGAGCAAUAUAAUCGUGAUUAUCAAUUUAACCAUUGGUUGUUUGUACUUUUACUUACCAAUAGAGGGAGACAUUAAACUAUAGACGCAAUAUUUGCAUUUCCUCCAUAUUGCCUAAUCAUGCAAAAACAGACUUGAUGGAUUCAGUCUGUUUAUCUACUGUGAUAUCAAUCAUGUAAAUGUGAUGUAUAAAACAUGUCAGAUAAAACCGAGUGUGUGCUGUGCAAUAUUAACUCCAGAUGGACCAAGCUCUUGCAGCAAAACCGAUUGGUUAUUUACUGUAGAUCUUGUCCUUCCCUCUUCUUGUUUGAUGCAAAUUUUAAACCUUUUUUUAGCCUAAACCUAAUAUACUCUCUGAUUUUAUCAGUGAGAAAAAAAACUUGGAGAUAAAACCUGUAACUACAGUGUGUCAAUGAACAGAUAUUUCCUUUCAUAUGAUGUUUGUACUGUCCAGUUUUGGGGAUAUUUCUAGAGAUUCGGAUGUGAAAUGCCACAUUUGUUUACAUAUUGAUGUUUGAUUUUGUCUUGUAGCCUACUAUCUGUAAUCUCUUACGGGAUAAACUUAAAUAUAUGUGCAUGACAAUUAAACAUAUUUUUAUACCUUUCCACAUGCAAAUAGAUUGUAUUUGUUUGUCUGCGUGAGAGAGUGUGUUA